rnacentral:rRNA from 1 species
GAUGAACGCUGGCGGCGUGCCUAACACAUGCAAGUCGAACGAAAAGAUCACGAGCUUGCCUCUUUGACGUUAGCGGCGGACGGAAUAGUAACACGUGGGUAACGUACCUAUAAGACAGGAAUAACUCCGGGAAAUCGGAGCUCAUGCCGGAUAACAUUUAGAACCGCAGAGUUCUAGAGUGUAAGCUGCUUUUGCUAUCACUUAUAGAUGAGCCCGCGCCGGAUUAGCUAGUUGGUAAGGUAACGGCUUACCAAGGCAACGAUCCGUAGCCGACCUGAGAGGGUGAUCGGCCACACUGGAACUGAGACACGGCCCAGACUCCUACGGGAGGCAGCAGUAGGGAAUCUUGCGCAAUGGGCGAAAGCCUGACGGAGCAACGCCGCGUGAGUGAUGAAGGUCUUCGGAUCGUAAAACGCUGUUAUUAGGAAAGAAAAAAUGUGUAAGUAACUGGGCGCGUCUUGACGGUACCGAAACAGAAAGCAACGGCUAACUACGUG